rnacentral:rRNA from 1 species
ACGGGAGGCAGCAGUGGGGAAUAUUGCACAAUGGAGGAAACUCUGAUGCAGCGACGCCGCGUGAGGGAAGAAGGUUUUCGGAUUGUAAACCUCUGUCCCCGGUGAAGAUAAUGACGGUAGCCGAGGAGGAAGCCACGGCUAACUACGUGCCAGCAGCCGCGGUAAUACGUAGGUGGCAAGCGUUGUCCGGAAUUACUGGGUGUAAAGGGAGCGUAGGCGGGAAAGCAAGUUGAUUGUUUAAACUAUCGGCUCAACUGGUAGUCGCGAUCAAAACUGUUUUUCUUGAGUGAAGUAGAGGCAGGCGGAAUUCCUAGUGUAGCGGUGAAAUGCGUAGAUAUUAGGAGGAACACCAGUGGCGAAGGCGGCCUGCUGGGCUUUAACUGACGCUGAGGCUCGAAAGCGUGGGUAGCAAACAGGAUUAGAUACCCUGGUA